GACAUCGUAGAGGGACCAUUCUGGUAUCAGAUUGAUUUUGCACCUGAGUCUGACAUCGUAGAAGGACCAUUAUGGUAUCAGAUUGGAUUUUGCACCUGAGUCUGAUAUCGUAGAAGGACCAUUUUGCAUCAGAUUGUAAGUAUUAAAUUUCUUUAUCAU